GGAGAUGUAGCUCAAUGAAAGAGCACUUGCCUGGCAUACUCAAGGGCCUGGGUUCAGUCCCCAGAGUCUCCA
rnacentral:tRNA from 1 species